GUGCACCCUUCAGCAGCACAUACACUAAAAUUGGAAUGAUACAGAACAGAUUAGCAUGGCUCCUGCACAAGGAAGACACAAAUUUGUGGAGUGCUCCAUAUUCAA
ensembl:snRNA U6 U6 spliceosomal RNA